rnacentral:rRNA from 1 species
GAUGAACGCUGGCGGCGUGCCUAAUACAUGCAAGUCGAGCGAACAGACGCGGCGCUUGCUCCUCUGACGUUACCGGCGGACGGGUGAGUAGCACGUGGCUAACCCACCUAUAAGACUGGGAUAACUUCGGGAAACCGGAGCUAAUACCGGAUGCUAUAUUCAACCGCAGGGUUCAAUAAUGAAAGACGGUUUUGCUGUCAAUUCUCGACCGAUCCGCGCCGCAUUAGCUAGUUGGUAAGGUAACGCCUUACCAAGGCAACGAUGCGUAGCCGACCUGAGAGAGUGGUAGGCCGCCCGAGAGCUGAGACGCCGACCAGGCUACUGCGGGACGCAGCAGACGGGAAUGGGACGCAGUGGUCGGGAGCAUGACGGAGUAAGGCCGAGCGAGUGAUGAAGGUCUUCGGUGCGUAAAGCUCUGUUAUGAGGUAAGAACCAAUGUGUAAGGAACUAAACACGUAGUGACGGUACCUAAACAAAAAGCCACGGCUAACUACGUG